ensembl:lncRNA
AUGAGUGUUAACCGUUUGAUUCUCCGGCUUUUUGACACGGUCGCAGCUCCAUCUCGCCCAGCCUGGAAGCGAAAGACACUCUGGGACCCCAAGUCGCCACCGAGGAGAGCGAGAGCCCAGGUCCCGGGGCGGACUCAGGGGUCCGGCGGCUCGGAGGCCUGCCCUGAGUCCCCCAAACCCGACCCCCGGCCCCCUCGAAAGGGCCGACAGGUACGCACUCACUUCCGGCGGGCCCCAGAGCUCCGGGAACCCGCGGGGGUAGGAGUGGGGGGGUCGGGGACGGAUCCCUUAGCCGUGCGGGUCGCGCCCCACCCCGGGAGUGCCGCCCGCUUCCCCGAGCUCUGGCCGCCCCCGAAGCGUGGCUGGCGACGCUGCCGGGCCCGAGGUGGGCCUCGCUUCUACUUACUGCUGGGGAGCCAGCCCCGCGUGGCGCGCCUCGCUUUCCCCGCCCCGAGCGCGGCCGCCGCAACCUCCCGCCUUAAAGGGCCGGGGGCCGGGAGCCGGGAGCGGGCCAGGCACCAGCAGCGCGGGCAGGCGGCGGAGGUGGGCGGUGCGCGCGCCCGGAGACACGCGUUUCCGGUCCCUCCUACCGCGGACAGGUGUUCCCAGGGCGCUGCGGGGCGCGGGGUCGCAGGUGUGCCGGUGCGCGCCGGAGGAGGACGCUGGGGGAGAGGAGAUCGGGCCUCCCUCCGCAGGGUCCCCAAGAGAGUGAAUAACUCGAGGGACAAGCUCCAGGUCCGACUCAUUUUGGAUCCCCCCACAGAGCCUAGCCUACACCUGCCUAGCAUUGCUGCAAGCAGACUUUUGUUAUUUAAAUAAAACGAGGGACACAGAGAAUACGUAUGUGUGAAGGGGAUGGGGGGAGGGGUGUGGGUUUGUGUGAAGAUGCUCACAUUGGACAAAAAGAGAUUUAAAACAAACAAUAAAUGUCUGAAGCGAACACUGUUUUUACCUCUGUAGCAUCCAUUCAUCGUUUUUGUGGUGAGAACACGAUUUUCUUUUGGGGAACUACGGCUCCGCUAUUGUACGUCCUUGGUUGGACUGUGAUCAAGGGGGCCUGCCCUCCCUUGGCCUGGGUAAUCACACUCUCAUGGAGCUAGAAAUUGCCAGUGACUCAUCCCAGCAGUAACCUAUCCACUAGGAUAAUAGAUUGUCCAUUUGGCUGCCGUUCUUUGGCAGAUUAAAGAUGGCUACUCAUUCUUUGUCAGCCCUCUCUCAUCAGGAGGCAGAGUCUCUGCCCCUUUCCUUCAAUCUGGACAAUAUGUCCCUUCCCUGUUUAAAAGAAUAAAUGGGAGUGAUCGGGUCAGUUUCAGUGCCUAGGUCUUCACAGAUUGGCCACUUCCACUUCUUGUCUCUUCAGAGGUUCACUUGGAGCCCUGAGCCACCUUUAAGUCCAGCGACCCUGAGGCCACCACACUGUGAGGAGGCCGAAGCUAACCACCUGGAGAGGUGCUGCCCAACCAGCUCCCAGCGCUUCUUGCCGUCCUGGCCCAACGUUGAGUGAAGAAUCCUUCACAGGACUGUAGUCUCAGAAGACAUCUGACUACACCCACAUGAAAGAUCCCAAUAAGAACUCUACAGAUGAGUCCAUCAACCCCCAAACCAUGAGAGAGAGCAAUAAAUGGUAGUUUUAAUCCACUAAGUUUUGAGGUGAUUUGUUACACAGCAAGAUAACUGGAACACAUCUAGACUCUCUGCUCUUCAGAAUACUGUUGUUCAACUUUCCCCUCAAAUGCUUCAAAAGAGUCCUCUUCUCCCCCAUUAGAAUUACAGGACUACCUUGUGUUCCUGUAACACAGUCUGGUGUCCUAAGUGUGCUAUUUUCCCUCUUUUCAUCUGUUCUUUUCUGUUCCCCAACUUCUUAUCUAUGAAAUGGGGUUACAAGGUACACUCAUCAUAGCAUUGCUGUGAGGAAAAAUUGAAUACCUCUAAAGCACUUCAAACAUUGCCUAGCACAAAGUAAGCACUUAGUGAAUAUAGCUUUUCUUAAGUAUUAAUCCAUAUAAUAAUGCCAUGAUUUAGAUGAGACUGUUAAGCUUAAACAGGUCAAAUCAGAAACUGCCAACUGGCCAUUCACUUGUUGGCCUGCCCGGUUUAAACAAAUAUUUGAAUUAGUUGCAGCCAUUUCCACGUCUGAUAGAGUUCGUAUGAAUAUCCAGAAUUCUGGCUUAUUGCAAAAAUGAGACAAUCCCCUGCAAGGCGCCUGGUGGCUCUUGCUGACCAGUGACUUCCCACUUCCCAUGGAGCCUGUGCUCUCUGGUUCACCCUGCCUGCCCCCCCCAACUCCCUACACUGGUAUCCACCACCUCUGUUCAUUUACGUUACUUGCCUGCCCUUAUGGGCAUUCGAGCUUGUAACUCAAGAGAGCAAAGACAGGAAAGAAGAGAGGAAGGAAAAGAGGCAGAGAGGAAGGCUGAAUUCAGCACGUGGGCAUGUUCUUUCUGGCUGUAGCUACCUUGGCAAACAUUGUAAGAAUUAAAACAUACUUUAUUUGGUAGGAGGAUCAAAUCCACCUUUAUAAAACAAGAACCUAUUUCAAUCAUUAAGACAAAACCGGUGUUUGAUUUGGACAAGUGUUCUCAUUCAAAUGCUUGCAAAAUAUAAUGUCUUGUCUGGGAGAUGCUGUCUUUCUUUAGGGAAAACCUUGGGGAAAUUUUCUAUGAAUGUGUUGGUCAAAAGAGGAUGGGCCAGAAUAUUUAUUUAUUUUUAAAGAUUUUAUUCAUUAGAGAGCAUGAGCAUGGUGGGUAGGGGGGAGAAGCAGACUCCCCAUUGUGCAGGGAGCCCAACUCAGGGCUCCAUCCCAGGACCCUGGGAUCAUGACCUGAGCUGAAGGUAGACGCUUAACCGACUGAGCCACCCAGGUGUCUGUCUCGUAGUAAUUAAAAUCCUUUCAGGAUCGUUCCACUUGCUGCUUUGUUCUAUAUUAUUUGAACUAUUUAACUUUCACAGUUCAUCACAGAGGAGCUUGUCUGUACAGUAUGAGUUUAAAGAUUCCCUGUCUUCCACCUGAGAGCAUUUGCAAAUCUGUCUCCCCUCUUCUAUCCCAGUUCAGAAGCAGGGAGAUUAUCUCCAUUGCAAAUCGAGGGUUGAGGCUCUGGCGGUCACAAGCACCCAGUUGAGCAGCUGAGUCUCCUUCCAGGCCAGGGCCUCAAUGUGCUCUACUAACACAAGAAAAGUGUGAGACCAAAGAAGGAGCCUCUGUUUGGUUAAGGUUCUAGUGGGCGCCUCCCAAGGGGAGAAAGUGCACAGUUUAUAUUAUAUUUAGCAAUCUGCCAAUCAAGGAAAAAUGCAGACAUUAAAGUAGCUUGUAUAAAGGUUUUUAUUAAAGUAAUAUAAACACAAAGAACAAUAGGAAAAUAAGAAUAAUAGAAAAAAGGUGACCCAUUGUCCAAAAGAAGAAUCAGGUUUAACAUAGUGAUGUAGUUUCCGCCAAGCUUUUUUCUUACAAAUAUUAAUAAUCAUAAUGAGUAGUUUUGAAUAUGGUCUUUUCACUUGACAUGCUGUUGUAAGCAUUUCCUCUAGUAUUACCUCACCUUUGUAGGCAAAAUUGUAGAGGCUACAAAAUAUUUCUAGAGGAUAUGUCAUAAUUUGUGGGAUUACUUUCCUGAUAUUUGUUUAUUUAAUUUGUUUCUAAUUCUUAUAAAUAACAUGGCUCUGAACAUCAUUGUACAUAAAGUUUUUAAUAUAUUUAGGAUCAUGUCCAUAUGUCAGAUCCUCAGAAAUGGAAUUAUGGAGUCAAAAAAACAUUGAAGGGGUGCCUGGGUGGCUCAUUCAGUUAGGUGCUAAACUCUUGGUUUCAGCUCAGGUCAUGAUCUCAUCAUGAGCUUUGCGCUCAGCUGGGAGUCGGCUUGAAGAUUCUCUUACUCUGCCCCUCCCCCCACUUGCAUGCGUGCUCUCUCUCUCUCUCUCUAUCUCUCAAAUAAAUAAGUAAAUCUUUUUUAAAAAUGGAAAAUUUUACAGCUCUUGUUGCAUAUUAUUUUUUUUAAAAGAUGUAUUUAUUUAAGAGAGAGAGAGAGCACAUGUAUGCAAGGGAGGAGGGGCAGAGGGAGAGGGAGAGACAAUCUCAAGCAGACUCCCUGCUGAGCACAGAGCAGGCACGGGGCUUGAGAUCAAGCCCCUGAGAUCAUGACCUGAGCUGAAAUCAAGAAUCCAAUGCUUAACCAACUGAGCCAUCCAAGCACCCCUCAUGUUGCAUAUUAUUAAAUUGUUUUCCAAAAUGUUUUAACCAAGUUAGACUGCCACCUUUCCAACAGUAGGUACAAUAAGUUUUUUAAAUCUUAAAUUGGUUAGCACGGCAUUCACAAUCUUAAUUUCUAUUUCCUUGACUCUAUGCAGAAUGAACAUUCUUCCAUGUCUUAGGUACUUGUUUUUUCUUCAUGUUGAAUGUUAUUCAAUGUCUUUUGUGCAUUUAAAUAUGAACUCUUUAGAGCUUUUCUUAUCUUUUUGUGAGCUUUUUAUAUAGUGUUAUUAACCUGCUGUUAUAUUUGUUGGAAACAUACUUUCCUAAUGGUUUGAAUUUUUUAAGAUAUUUUAUUCAUAUAUUGGAAACAUAUAGAGAAUAAUGCAGUAAACACUCAUGAACCUACACCCAACUUUAAUAAUAUUUUGCUGUAACUUCAAAAAUGUUUCAAGAAUAAA